rnacentral:rRNA from 1 species
GAUGAACGCUGGCGGCGUGCUUAACACAUGCAAGUCGAACGGUGAACGAGGGAGCUUGCUCCCUCCGGAUCAGUGGCGAACGGGUGAGUAACACGUGAGCAAUCUGCCCUGGACUCUGGGAUAAGCGUUGGAAACGACGUCUAAUACCGGAUACGAGGCGUGGGGGCAUCCCCAACGCCUGGAAAGAACUUCGGUCCAGGAUGAGCUCGCGGCCUAUCAGCUAGUUGGUGAGGUAACGGCUCACCAAGGCGACGACGGGUAGCCGGCCUGAGAGGGUGACCGGCCACACUGGGACUGAGACACGGCCCAGACUCCUACGGGAGGCAGCAGUGGGGAAUACUGCACAAUGGGCGCAAGCCUGAUGCAGCAACGCCGCGUGAGGGACGACGGCCUUCGGGUUGUAAACCUCUUUUAGCAGGGAAGAAGCGAAAGUGACGGUACCUGCAGAAAAAGCACCGGCUAACUACGUGCCAGCCGCCGCAGUAAGAC